rnacentral:rRNA from 1 species
GAUGAACGCUGGCGGCGUGCCUAAUACAUGCAAGUCGAGCGAACAGACGAGGAGCUUGCUCCUCUGACGUUAGCGGCGGACGGGUGAGUAACACGUGGAUAACCUACCUAUAAGACUGGGAUAACUUCGGGAAACCGGAGCUAAUACCGGAUAAUAUAUUGAACCGCAUGGUUCAAUAGUGAAAGACGGUUUUGCUGUCACUUAUAGAUGGAUCCGCGCCGCAUUAGCUAGUUGGUAAGGUAACGGCUUACCAAGGCAACGAUGCGUAGCCGACCUGAGAGGGAGAGCGGCCACACUGGAACUGAAACACGUCCCAGACCCCUGGGGGAGGAACCAGUGGGGAACUUGCCGCAAGGGGCGAAAGUUUGACGGAGCACCGCGGGGUGAGUAAUAAAGGUUUUCGGAUCGAAAAACUUUUUUAUUGGGUAAAAAAAAAUGUUAAGGAAAUAAUGCCCGUUUUGAGGGUACCUAACCAGAAAGCCACGCCUAACUACGUC